AAACACACAUGACGCAGAGGAUACUAUGAUCAGAAAGACGGGUUCCUCCAGGGUAAGGCUCUUUCAUUGCACUACGGUUGAGCUAAUCCUUGCGGAAUACUCCUAAAGUGGAUAUCCAGGCGUUAUAAUUUUUGGUAGUCGGGACUGCGUUUGCGCUGUCCCGG